UGGGCGAUCGACUAACGGUAGGUCAGGUGCCUUUGGAGCAUCUAGUCCAGGUUCGAAUCCUGGUCGCCCAACCA
rnacentral:tRNA from 1 species